rnacentral:tmRNA from 1 species
GGGGAUGUACGAAUUGACGGGAGAGCACUUUGAAAACUGCAAGCCGAAGACGAUCGCUGGAAUUCGUUAAAAACGCGAUCAAAAAUUUAAGUGCUGGUCAUAAAACCACACUGACUGCGUACCUUGAGAAGCUUGAAAAAGCUCUCGCCGCUAAUAACAAAAGCAAUUUUGCUUUUGCCUAUCAGCAAGCAUACGCUUAAGUCCGUUUCUUUGAUCUUUUCUCGGUGAGAUCUCUGAAGCGUAACACAGCCGAGGUGCUUCCCGGCAACUUUGGUUUUAUUGCCGCGGAUUAAGAUUUAGUAACCACGUGAUAUUUUUCUUGCCCCGCCAGCGAGAAUAUCACAAAAUUCAGGCGGGGCUACGCUUGUAGAAGUUUAAAAGUCGCUCUUACCACACGGGAGGUCAUUCUCCCCAUCUCCACAC